rnacentral:rRNA from 1 species
CCAAGGAGUCUAACAUGUGCGCGAGUCGCAGGGUGCUCGCAAAAUAAAAAAAACCCGAACCCCGAAGGCGCAAUGAAAGUGAAGGUCGGUGGUCUGACUGACCGAGGCGGGAUCCGUUCCGGGCAUCGAUCGCAAACGGAGUCGUCAGGCUUCUAGUUUGCGGCGAGCCCGGCGGCGCACCGCCGGCCCGUCUCGACCGCUUCUUGUCGGCGAGGCGGAGCAAGAGCGCACACGUUGGGACCCGAAAGAUGGUGAACUAUGCUCGGGCAGGACGAAGCCAGAGGAAACUCUGGUGGAGGUCCGUAGCGAUUCUGACGUGCAAAUCGAUCGUCGGACCCGAGUAU